rnacentral:rRNA from 1 species
UAGGGUGCAAGCGUUGUCCGGAAUUAUUGGGCGUAAAGAGCUCGUAGGUCGUUUGUUACGUCGGAUGUGAAAACCUGAGGCUCAACCUCAGGCCUGCAUUCGAUACGGGCAAACUAGAGUUUGGUAGGGGAGACUGGAAUUCCUGGUGUAGCGGUGGAAUGCGCAGAUAUCAGGAGGAACACCAAUGGCGAAGGCAGGUCUCUGGGCCAAUACUGACACUGAGGAGCGAAAGUCUGGGGAGCAAACAGGAUUAGAUACCCUGGUAGUCCAGACCGUAAACGGUGGGCACUAGUUGUGGGAACCUUCCACGGUUUCUGCGACGCAGCUAACGCAUUAAGUGCCCCGCCUGGGGAGUACGAUCGCAAGAUUA